GAACUCUGUCUCUUGUCAGGUGACGGGUGCCAUUGGAAAGACAAUGUCCCAAGAAGACCACUGUGGGCCAGCACCAUUGGAGUUUAGCUUUAGAGGCUUUGCAACCCUCUUCUGCGAGGAAACAGAGAAGAUUCACCGAAUGGCGUUCAGCUGUUGGAAAGUCAUCUGCACAGAGUAGCAAAUCAUCAACAUACUGGAGCAGAACUACAUCUGGGUGAGAUUUCUGCCAGGGUUCUAGUACAGUAGACAUUGCUUUGGCAAAUUGUGUUGGAGAAUUUUGCGCACCUUGAGGCAUAACAGUCCGUGUAUAUUGCUGGCGGUCAUGUGUGAAAGCGAAUAAAUACUGACAUGAGGGAUCCAAAGGCACACUGAAGAAGGAGUUGGCAAGAUCCACCACUGUGAAGAAUUUAGC